CAAUAGCGUAUAUUUAAGUUGUUGCAGUUAAAAAGCUCGUAGUUGGAUUUCGGAUGGGGUUUGCCGGUCCGUCGUUACGAUGUGCACUGGCCAGUCCUAUCUUGUUGUCGGGGACUAGCUCCUUGGAUUCACUUCCUGGGACUAGGAGCUGACGAGGUUACUUUGAGUAAAUUAGAGUGUUCAAAGCAAGCCUACGCUCUGAAUACAUUAGCAUGGAAUAACACGAUAAGACUCUGGCUUAUCUUGUUGGUCUGUGAGACCAGAGUAAUGAUUAAGAGGGACAGUCGGGGACAUUCGUAUUUCAUUGUCAUAGGUGAAAUUCUUGGAUUUAUGAAAGACGAACUUCUGCGAAAGCAUUUGUCAAGGAUGUUUUCAUUA
rnacentral:rRNA from 1 species